rnacentral:rRNA from 1 species
AGCGAACGUUAGCGGCACGCCUAACACAUGCAAGUCGCACGAGAACAGGGGCAACCCUUAGUAAAGUGGCGCACGGGUGCGUAACACGUAGAUAACCUGCCCUUUGGAGGGGGAUAACGUUCCGAAAGGAGCGCUAAUACCGCAUACAGCAAGAGCCGGUUCGCCGGUUUUGGUCAAAGGUAGGGAUCCGCAAGGACCUACCGCCAGAGGAGGGGUCGUGCGGCCCAUCAGCUAGUUGGUGAGGAAUGGCUCACCAAGGCAGAGACGGGUAGCUGGUCUGAGAGGAUGAUCAGCCACACUGGUACUGGAACACGGACC